rnacentral:rRNA from 1 species
ACACGUAUGAAAGUCAAGCUGAAAGACUUUACUCAAUGAUGUAAGUGGUGGUGCAUGGUCGUUCGUAGUUCGUGGAUUGAUUUGUCUGGUCUAUUCCGAUAACGAGCGAGACCCCAACGUUCCUAAUAGGGGUCACAGCCCGGCUGGCCGCAAGGUCAGUUAGCAGUGACCUAAGAUUAGCUUCUUAGACGUAUCAGAGCCGAUAAGGUUCUUGAAAUGGGUUAAUAACAGGUCAGUCAUGCCCUUAGAUGUUCUGGGCCGCACGCGCGUUACAAUGGCAUGUAUAAAACGUGCUGCAAAAGGUGUCCCCGGGGCUGAAAAGCCCUGGUAACCCUUAGUCCCUGCCUUGACUGGGACAGAUCAUUGCAAUUAUUGGUCUCAAACGAGGAAUUUUUAGUAAUCGCAGGUCAUUAACCUGCGAUGA